GACGAACGCUGGCGGCGUGCUUAACACAUGCAAGUCGAACGGAAAGGCCCUGCUUUUGUGGGGUGCUCGAGUGGCGAACGGGUGAGUAACACGUGAGUAACCUGCCCUUGACUUUGGGAUAACUUCAGGAAACUGGGGCUAAUACCGGAUAGGAGCUCCUGCUGCAUGGUGGGGGUUGGAAAGUUUCGGCGGUUGGGGAUGGACUCGCGGCUUAUCAGCUUGUUGGUGGGGUAGUGGCUUACCAAGGCUUUGACGGGUAGCCGGCCUGAGAGGGUGACCGGCCACAUUGGGACUGAGAUACGGCCCAGACUCCUACGGGAGGCAGCAGUGGAGAAUAUUGCACAAUGGGCGGAAGCCUGAUGCAGCAACGCCGCGUGCGGGAUGACGGCCUUCGGGUUGUAAACCGCUUUCGCCUGUGACGAAGCGUGAGUGACGGUAAUGGGUAAAGAAGCCCCGGCUAACUACGUG
rnacentral:rRNA from 1 species